GAUGAACGCUGGCGGCGUGCCUAAUACAUGCAAGUCGAGCGAACAGACGAGGAGCGUGCUCCUUUGACGUUAGCGGCUGACGGGUGAGUAACACGUGCAUAACCUACCUAUAAGACUGGGAUAACGGCGUGAAACCAGAGCCAAUAACGGAUAAUAUAUUGAACCGCUUGAUUCAAUGGUGAAAGAAAGCUUUGCCGAUCCAUAUAGAAGAUUCCGCGCUGCAUAAGCUAGUGGGUAAGGUAACGGCUUACCAAGGCAACGAUGCGUAGCCGACCUGAGAGGGUGAUCGGCCACACUGGAACUGAGACACGGUCCAGACUCCUACGGGAGGCAGCAGUAGGGAAUCUUCCGCAAUGGGCGCAAGCUUGACGGAGCAACGCCGCGUGAGUGAUGAAGGUCUUCGGAUCGUAAAACUCUGUUAUUAGGGAAGAAAAAAUGUGUAAGUAACUAUGCACGUCUUGACGGUACCUAAUCAGAAAGCCACGGCUAACUACGUG
rnacentral:rRNA from 1 species